rnacentral:rRNA from 1 species
UACGUAGAGUGCAAGCGUUAAUCGGAAUUACUGGGCGUAAAGCGUGCGCAGGCGGUUAUGCAAGACAGAGGUGAAAUCCCCGGGCUCAACCUGGGAACUGCCUUUGUGACUGCAUAGCUAGAGUACGGUAGAGGGGGAUGGAAUUCCGCGUGUAGCAGUGAAAUGCGUAGAUAUGCGGAGGAACACCGAUGGCGAAGGCAAUCCCCUGGACCUGUACUGACGCUCAUGCACGAAAGCGUGGGGAGCAAACAGG